GUAACAAGCAUGGCAGUCCCACGUUUUUCUGCAUGGAUUUGGCUUGCCAAGACAUCUGCUUUUAUUAGCAGCAGUUGAUCUCCCUGUAACGAGGAAUUAUGUUCAGCUAAUUACAAAGAACUGUUCCGGCUGCAUUACCUGUUCACUCACACUGACAACGCAGGCCUUCCAAAGCUAACAAUGGUGCCUCCAACCCCCCUACUUAAAUCAAGUGUCAAACAGGUAACAAAACCACAUCAUUUUUUCACAUCCAUUUGUUUUUAUUACAAAGACAAAAAUCCAUGGAGAGAUAGAAGUUAAGAACCAGUCACAGAAGUUGUAGUCAUUAAUGACAGUACUAAGUAUUACAGAGUUGCUAUUAAAUGUACCUACCUGCUUUAUAAACUGUGCAGCAUUGAAAAGUUCACUGCAGCCGUAGAGGACGUGUUUGCCUUGUUUACCCUGAGGAAAAGAUGAGAAGAAAUUAGCUGUGUAACAGAGUAGCAAAAAUGGCUUCAACUAAUGGCACACCAAAAAGUGUAUUUCUCCAUGAUCUCUAAGUCCUGCAGUUCUGGCUGUGUUUGAGCAAGGAAGUUUCAUCAUUUACUCCUAUAUGGCAAUAACAUUUGAAAGAACUUACUUUAAAAAACAUCUGGAACAAUAUGAUGUUGGAUGUAGUUGGAUUUAAUGAUCCCAGCACGCAGUGAACAGUUUGAUAGUGCUUUUCUGACAAUGCAGCAUCGCACAGGUGAAAAAAUGGUGUAAGUAACACAUAGUUUUAGACUGAGUUUAUGCCCAGCAUUGGUUAAUAAUCCCACAGCUCCUCAAUCUGUCUCACUAUUGAAUUACUUUGUGCUUUCCCUUUCUAGUCAGAGUGGAUUCUUUUUGUUUGCUUUUUGUCACUGAUGUGAUUUUAAAACAACCACCACCACCAGAACACACCUUACCAGCUCUAUGUGAGAGAUAAAUGGUAGCUGUCAGGGAACUGGCAGGACAAAACCAGAAUAGAGGACUCACUCUCACUUUUUCUCUGAUACCAAAUUACAAGUUGCUUAAAAAAAGGCAAAAAAGGAACACGAGCCUCCUCAAAAUGAUUCUGUUUCAUAGCUGUUAACAGCUGUGCUGUUUCAGCAGACAGGCACAGAACUGGAUUUUAACAGUCUGUGGCUGGUGGGCACAUGCAAAUUUGGGAGAUGGAAAUCCUGCUUUGUCUCCUCAUCUUUAUUAAUUUGGAGUGGUUUGUGACAAGAAGCUGCUCUUAUCACUGAGCAGAGGCUUGAGCUUGGUUCUCCCCACCUUUCAGCCACGGCAUUUAAUCCAGAGGCCUGAGCAGGUCUGGUUUUGAUCUCAACUGGAAUCUUAACACUCUAUUUUCUGUAAUACGAAUAGAUAGCACUUACUGCUGCACAGAACAUAAACAAACACUAGAGAUAAUUAUAAAGUGAGACUGUUGCCUUUUUAGGCUGCAAAAUACACACUCCUGUACAAUCCCCAUCUUAAACAAAUUCUUCUAAAAGUAUAGUUUUAAAUGAAAGCAUACACCUACUCCAAGCUGAUUACUCAGCACACCUGAAGUGAUGUAUCGCCCAGAAGUUAGCAGAGCCAGGCUGAAAAUGCUUAGCUAUAUAAAUAAUGCAACAGCAGCACUCUUUUAAGUUGUUUUGUUUUUAAAAGCUGUACAGAACUUGAUUUUCUUGUGCUAACUUGUAACGCGUAGCAGAGGCAGGCUGUCAGGCAGUACCUUUUCAACAAUAUAUGAAAGGAAAUGGAAGGACAAGCUAAAUUUCUGUACUUUGAGAUUUUGGUGACACACUUUCUGCGCACUGUUAGCUGAUGUAUCUGUUCCAAGGCACAACAUUCCUGACUAUGAACAACAUUUGAUCUAUCAUGAAGUGAUCCUGGCACAGAACUGGAAAUAACUGGGUUUGAGGGUUCAGUCUCCUACAAAAGCCCCCAAAACGCCUGAUCUGAGCACUGCUUCCUGCUUCACAAAGUUUGCACAGAUUUUCUGUUUUCAGAAGCAAACUGGUAAAAACACACUGUGCUUAAAAAAAUAAAGCUGUGAAUAAAAUCUUUGUUGUAUCCGCUUGCGAGAACAGACCUGUUGGGUUUUUUCCUUCUUUUCAUUCUGAAGGAAAACUGAUUCAAUUUUAGAAUAAUUAAUAAGCUACAUCUGGUGAGACAACAGAUGCUGGCAGUGUACGCACCACAUGCGUGGAAGUGAGCCAGACUGCACUGGCUAAGCCUGGAAGAGCCACCUGGGAAGAGGGUGAGGGGAAUGAAGUUUUCCAUAACUUCUCUUGCUUUUCAGAAGCAAGGCGCUAUCUAAGUAAAGGUGGGGGAGACUUCCCUCUCAGAAGGUAACAUCCUACUGCUGAAAUAGCCUCCCUGGAGAACUGUAUAACAUGUUUCUGCUUUAACCAUUAAUGAAGAAGAAACCACUUUCCAGUGAUUACAGAACAACAGCAAGGAAGCUGCGUUUCUAAUCUGUUUGUGUCUCUAAAAGUUUUGAUUCCUUUUGUCCUCUCCUUGUAUCCCUUCAGCUUCAUUUCUCCUCUUCCCAAUUCUGACCAGCUCUGUUCCAAAACGGCUGCCUGCUAGAGGAGAAAACAGCCCCAUGCAGUUCUGACUUCAUGUUCUGCAAGAUAUACUGGAAUAUGAACAUAAACCCAUCAGUUGCUCGGUACGUGGAGAAAUACCUUCCUUUCUAAUGUUGCAUGUGUAUUGUUUUCAGGGAAAAGCCUUGAUCCCGAUAGACAACAUGCAUAGCAAGGUAUAAUCUAGAAGAAAGAAGAGCAUUUUGCUGCUCUUACCUAAUUUAAAACUUCAUCCAAGUUCCCUUUGUUUCCUUUUUACACCUGGAAGGUGCUUCUACAUCAUCUCUGCCCCAGAAGGAAUUCUAAAGAUUUGGUUACUUCUUUUUCAGCUGCUGCUUUUUGGUGUAUGUACAUUUCAUUUAGGCUGGCAAGGCGGAAUCAGAGACUUUAGAUCCCUUACACCACCACUAAUUACAUAGCUGGUCCCAUAUUCUUUGUUCACUGUAUGAUUUCUACACAGAAUCAAAUGAUCCAGCAUGCUGAGAAUGAACCGCCUGUAACUCACAAGUAAAAACUUCUAAACACAGGCAAUAAGCACUAAGAGAUUGAUGCCAAUGUGAUCUUUGCUUUGGUAGGUGGCAUAGUGCUUGCAUUCAGAAAUGCAACAGGAACAAAAAUGCCAGAUAUAAUAACUGGCAAUCUAAAAUAAUCAUCCAUUUUCUACACAAUUUUUAGGUACUUUUUUUCCCCUGCAUUAUAUGUAUAAUACCAAUGUAAAAGCUAAUUUCUUAAGAUUUCAUCUUCCAAAUACUAGAUGUUACAGAAAGCCUGCUAAAGCUCAUUUAUAUCAGUAAGUUAGGAACUACAGUCAACAGAAGCAUACAUACCUUUAUGUAGUCAAUAAGAUUUUGAUAUUCAAUAUAGUUGCCUCCACCAACUACGAAGACUAUUGCCUAAAAAACAACAUGAACAUAAUCAGAACAUGCAACCAAAUUCUUCAUUCUGCACCAGUGAAGUAUAUAUACCACAUCAAUACAUAUAACAAAACUAUCUUUGUCAUGCUUCAGCUAGUGAGAACCCAGCACAGACCAACUAGCUCCCUACCUGCCAGAAAA